AGAACGAACGCUGGCGGCAUGCCUAACACAUGCAAGUCGAACGAGACCUUCGGGUCUAGUGGCGCACGGGUGCGUAACGCGUGGGAAUCUGCCCUUGGGUUCGGAAUAACAGCGAGAAAUUGCUGCUAAUACCGGAUGAUGACGUAAGUCCAAAGAUUUAUCGCCCAAGGAUGAGCCCCGCGUAGGAUUAGCUUGUUGGUGAGGUAAGAGCUCACCAAGGCGACGAUCCUUAGCUGGUCUGAGAGGAUGAAUCAGCCACACGUGGGACUGAG
rnacentral:rRNA from 1 species